UACGGGGGGGGCAAGCGUUGUUCGGAAUUACUGGGCGUAAAGGGCUCGUAGGCGGCCAACUAAGUCAGAUGUGAAAUCCCCCGGCUUAACCUGGGAACUGCGUCUGAUACUGGGAGGCUUGAGUAUGGGAGAGGGAUGUAGAAUUCCAGGUGUAGCGGUGAAAUGCGUAGAUACCUGGAGGAACACCGGUGGCGAAGGCGGCAUCCUGGACCGGCAUUGACGCUGAGGCGCGAAAGCCAGGGGAGCAAACGGG
rnacentral:rRNA from 1 species